rnacentral:rRNA from 1 species
UACGGAGGGUGCAAGCGUUAUCCGGAUUCACUGGGUUUAAAGGGUGCGUAGGCGGGUUGGUAAGUCCGUGGUGAAAUCCCCGAGCUUAACUCGGAAACUGCCGUGGAUACUAUCAAUCUUGAAUAUCGUGGAGGUAAGCGGAAUAUGUCAUGUAGCGGUGAAAUGCUUAGAGAUGACAUAGAACACCAAUUGCGUAGGCAGCUCGCUAAACUGUAACUGACGCUGAGGCACGAAAGCGUGGGGAGCAAACAGG